GUCUCCAGAAAUGACUCAUGAAGGCUCUGUAGUUAACGCAUAAAACCUUUAAAGUUGACUCAUAAGGUCUUCAGAGGUGAAACAUAAAACUUCGGCAGUUAACCUAUAAGAUCUUAAUGAGACGUUUACAUUAAACCUAUAACAGAACUAUGAAGUUAUAAAAUAUUCGGAGCUGAUUCUGUAAGAUCUCCGAAUAUUAUUUGCAAGCCUUCAGACUUAGCUAAGAGUUGUUCUUAACAGGAA